CAGGAGACGGGGGUGUCCAGGCAGGAGACGGGGUGUCAGGCAGGAGACGGGGGUGUCAGGCAGGAGAUGGGGUGUCAGGCAGGAGACGGGGGUGUCCAGGCAGGAGACAAGGGUGUCCAGGCAGGAGACGGGGGUGUCCAGGCAGGAGACGGGGGUGUCCAGGCAGAAGUCCAGGGCUCCCCGACCAGGCCGAACUGUGGCAGAAUCAGGAUUUUCCAUAGAGACAGGAUGACGGGUUGGGUGUGCGGACGGGGAGAGUGUGUGGUCAGGCCCCCUCAGACCGCCGUCCUCCCAUGGGUGUGCUGUGGGAGCGGUUGUAGCCCUUGAGUCACAGUGAGCCUGGAAGGCACAUGUGGAGGAAAACUCUGGAAGAAAGAGCUUCCAGGUGGGAGUUGGGGCAUAUGGGACCUCCCUUCUCCCUUCACGGGGCGUUGGACACCCCCUGAGGACUGAGCUCGUGGCUGCAGAGGCUGUGGGCCCUCUGGACACUCCCUGAGGACUGAGCUCGUGGCUGCAGGGGCCGUGGGCCCUCUGCUUUGUGGGGCUGGGCCGAGUAGGGUGAGGGAAGCCCUGGCGUCUGCAGACCCUCCUGUGCUGAUGACCUGUACCACCUGCUCUGUCUCCAUGGUGACUCGAAGAGGAGGCGGCUGGGGCUGCAUCACCUCCAUUUUUGCAUGCAUGAGAAAUUGAGUGUAAGUCUCCUCUGCUCCCUUCCUGUGACAUCCGAGCAUGGUCGUCUGACAAAUGGGGUAUCGGGAGUCUUGGUGCUGCCUGUUCCUGAAAUGUCUUCCUGAGAAAACACAGAGUGAAGGAAUGUCCGGAGGGCACAGGGGCCGUCACCUGCCAGAGCCCAAGGAGGGAAUGCACCGGGGUGCUGUCCUGGGGCCGGCAUUCAACUGAAAGGAUUGGCUUCAAGUCUUGGCUGACCACUGGAGACUCUGGCCAGGGACCUUGGGAUGGUUCAGGGGAACCUGCUGUAGGUUUACAGAGAGAGAAACUGAGGCCCAGGGUGGAAACCAGGGUGAACAGGGCUCCUCCCAUCUCCUCCCCUGCUAGAGGGUGGGCAAGAAACCAGUGGCUCCCCUGGCUCCCUCCCCUCCCAUCCCUUCUGCUUGGUGACCCUCCUCCAAUGGGCUCCCGUCUUUCCUGUCCAACCGUCCAUGUCACAUGGGACCUGCUGUCUUUGGGCCAGGGGUCAUGGCCACCUGGUCCACACCUGACCACCAGGCCCACCCCUUCAGGGGCACAGUGGCAGAGGGAGUUCCCAAGAAAUGAGGUUUGGGGCAGGAGAGGUGACCCCAGUGCGUGUGGCUAUGGGGAUCGACAAAGCAGGGGAGCAAUGUCCCUUGGGUUCCAGAUGAAAGUGGCUGAGAUGUCACAGUGACAUGAAAGACUGAGCUUCCAUUGUACAAGGACUGCCCCGUGCAAAGCGGUGCCCCUGCCUGCCCUGCCCCCAGCCUUGUUAGGGGACUGGCCACACUCACAGACAUGCCAUCCGGGAAGAGCUGGCCAUGGGUGUGUAGGCAGCCUCAGGGAAUCAGUCAGAGGGUGGCUUGAGUAGCCGGGAGCCGCCACACUGCCUGCCGACGUGGCUGGGCCUGUUUCAGAUCCAGGAAGUGGGGGUCUGCGUGGGGGACCUUCUGCUUUUGUGAGGAGCUGAGCGGCCCCUGGCCAACACUUUCAGCCUUUCAUGGAGCUCAGACGUGUAGCCGCAGGAGCUGAGCCCCAGCCCCAGGCUUGUCCUGCCCUGGCUCUGCCUCCUGGGAGCCUGUCCUGGGCAGGGGGUGGGGCUGUGAUGAAGACUGGGCAGGUGAAAGGCCUGGGGCACCGGCCUGCCUGUCCCCUCCUGGAGCGGACAGUGAGAGGGGCUUCUUUCUUGCGGACAAUGGGAAUCUUGCAGCCUCUGCAGGCAGCUCCUGACACCCGCCCCGGUGCCCUGUGGCUUGGGAUCUGGUGAGCUUUGAGGUCCCUGAGGCCGCAGUGGGUCUUCCCUGCAGGUACAGUUGACAUGUGGGUUACUGACUUGGUUUGGCAUUGGCGUCAGGUCGGGGUAGCUGGCCUUCACCCCUCAGCUUACCAGCUUUGUGCAGGGGACUCUAGCCGGGACCCUCCCUUUCUCACCAGCAGGCGAAAUGCCUUUAGACCCCCAGCGUGCCCCAAUGCUGAGCUGUCAGUCUCGCGCCAGAGACCACAUGCCUCUUGGGAAUAGGAAGCAGUUUGUACAGAGAGGUUGUCUGGGACUGCCCCCAGGACUCUGCACUCUCUAAUCCUGGGAGGCGAGGCUGGGAGGUUGAUCCUGGAGGAAGACACAGCAGGUGCCUCCCCGCCCCUCAACUCCCCUGGAAGGACUGAUGGGCGUGGCAGGGCAGGAGAGGGUGGACGUCCCACAGUCAGGGACACCACGGACAGGACUUCAUGCCCAGCACAUGCCGGCACAGCUGGCGACACUUCUGGAUCUGAUUCUGUAGCUGAGCUCCCAUUUCCUGUCUGCACAGCUGGUCACUGUGCAGCCAGAGGAAGGUGGGUGGCUCCCUUCUGAGCCCUGUCCUGGGCACCCUGCCUCCCUCCUGACGAGGAACCCCCUGGUGCUUUCUGUUCUCUGAUGAAGAGGAGGGAUCUCCUUGCCUUUUCUUCUCCUCAGAACCAUCAUAAGCUGGGCUUCCAGGGGUUUUUCUCAGAGAUUAUGCAAAUGUGGCCCUUGCCUCCGGGCUGCACGGCUGGUACUCUUUAGGAGAUUACGGAGGCCGUACGUCUAAGCUUCAGCAUAUUUACCUUUUAUUUACUCCGCACCUUUUCAGGCUGUGGCCAGUCCUGACAGCUCUGAUCUUUCCGGCGAAGUGUACAUGUUGGAAAUACGUAUUACAGGUUCUCAAGAGACCAUUUCCCUCCUGCUCAAUCCUAAGGCUGUUUGUGUACCCAGCAAGGAUUUAUUGUGUCUUCAGGAUAGUCUCUUUGUGUAUUUUGGUCUCAGGUUUUAAAAUAUUGGGAUCAGUUAACGAUUAUGCACUGUCGCUGGUGGGGUUAGUGCGGCAGGUGGGAUGGGAGACCUCAGGCUGCAGACACUGAAGUCACGUCCAGCAUCUGCCCUACUGCAGGCAAAGGGUGUGGCCCACCCAGUCGCUGGGGGCCUCUAAUGCAGCCGCCAUCUUACACAUGGCUUCCCGGUCACCAAGAAAGGGGAAGAAGAAGAGGAUGGCACAGGAGGUCAGGCCUGGAAGGAGCUGGGCCACUUCUGCAUGAAAUCUUUCAGCAAGGAAUGGCGCCCCUGCCCCAGCUCCCAUCGGAAGACGGGCUGGGAGCAUCUGAGGAAUGAGUCCUAGGAUUUGGAGGACACAGGACACACACUGUCUUUGCAACAGGGAGAUCAUAUCUUCUCCAUGUCCAGGGUGAGCAAGUUGAGGCCAAGAGACAUCCAGACACUUGCCAAGGUCCCACCACCGCCCAUGGGUGGCAGAGCUUUAAGUGAGCCCAGGGUGCUGAGUUCCAAGGCUGUUUCCCUAAAUGCUGCCAGGGGACAGGGUUUUGCUGACAGGUGGGUGCAGAGGUGCCCCUGUGCAGCGUCCGCCUUGGGAGCAGAGGCCCUGGGAGCAGUCCCUGGGAGGCCUAUGCCCGCUGCCGCCCAUCCCGAUGGGGUGGCUGGGGUCUGAGGAGGUGGCCCUGAGGAAGGGUGAGGGGACCGGGGGUGAUUAGGGCACAAGGAGCAAAGAACGGAAGUCUCAUCGAUGCCCUGGUCUCCCGUUAGGUGUGAGGGGGAGGAGUGCAGCCGUCAAACCCUUGGCUCUCACCUGGGACCCCAGAAUUGUGGUGUCCAAGCCCUGUGUCUGCAGAAGGCGACCCCAGCACAGCUGGCACGGAGGUGGCAGGGCUGGCACAGGGUGAGGACUCCAGGGCAGGCCCCCGUGGGGCUCUCUCAGCACGAGGGCUUCAGCGUCUUGGUCUCCAGGCUGCACGUCUGAGGUCCAGCUGGGGCCUUGCCCAUCAAAGAUGUCGGCAGGAUGUAUUUUGGUUAUUUGAGUCAAAGCUGGAUCCCACCACAUUCUGAAACGCCAGUAAGGGGUCGCACCCCAAGCAGUGAGGCCCUCAGGAGAUGACUGUAGAAGGAUCUGGAAGGGUCUGGGAGAAGGACACCCCAGGGACCCUUUCCCAACUCGAGGCCACCCUCUGAGCAUCUUGGUCCCUGGCCAGAAUGAAAUUUCAUAUUGAGCUGUUGCCCAGAGAAGGACAUUUUUGCAUUUCCCCAAACCUUUUUUUUCCUUUUCCAACCUGUCCUUUUUUGCUGCGCAGAGAAGUCAGUGUCCAGAAAUACGAGAAAAUGGGGAGGCAGCAGCCAUGUGGCUGGAUGACAGCUGUUGUCACCAUGUUUGGUGGAAGGGAUGAGGCUGGCAUGUUGUGGAGAGCAUGGGCCAUGGUUUGUGGGGUCAGAGUGGGUCAGCACCCCAAAGUUAGCAAGCAUCCCUCAGCACCUGCAUUUCCUGGAGCUGGGCUGAUGACGUAGAGAAGGAGCUCUCCUUUCAGAAGAGCUCGCAGGGUCUCCUUUCAUUGCUACCCUCACAGCAGGGGCAAGAAUGCAGGUGAGGCAGGGCCAGGCAGGUGAGGGGGGACAGGCAGGUGAGGGGGACAGGCAGGUGAGGUGGGUCAAGCAGAGGCCUCUCACCCUGGAAUCCCAGCCCAGCAACCCUUACCUGGGAACGUUCUGCUCUGCGCACAGGCAGACAGGUGAAAUGAAUAAGUCAGUUGAGGUGGGUCAGGCAGGUGAAAUGAGUCAGUCAGGUGAGGUGGGUUAGGCAGGUGACAUAUGUAAGUCAGGUGAGGUGGGUCCGGCAGCUGAAAUGAGUAAGUCAGGUGCGGUGGGUCAGGCAGGUGAAAUAUGUAAGUCAGGUGCGGUGGGUCAGGCAGGUGAAAUGAUUAAGUCAUGUGAGGUGGGUCAGGCAGCUGAAAUGAGUAAUCAGGUGAGGUGGGUUAGGCAGGUGAAAUGAGUAAUCAGGUGAGGUGGGUCAGGCAGGUGAAAUGAGUAAUCAGGUGAGGUGGGUUAGGCAGGUGAAAUGAGUAAGUCAGGUGAGGUGGGUCAGGCAGGUGAAAUGAAUAAGUCAGGUGAGGUGGGUCAGGCAGGUGAAAUGAAUAAGUCAGGUGAGGUGGGUCAGGCAGGUUAGGGCUGAUAGGCCAGUGAGGGGCAGGCGGGUGAAGUAGGGCAGGCGGGUGAGGUGGGUCAAGCAGGAGAGGGCACAGGCAGGUGAGGUGGGGCCGGGCCUUCCUCCGGGGGUCCGCAGAGGGCUGCCAUGGGGGUAACCCUGCAUGGCCAGCUCUAGGACAGAGGAGUGUGGAGGCAGAGAGGAGGGGCUGUGUCAGCUGAGCAGCAGGUCCAGGACAGCCUGGGUGGGUGGGCAGGGCAGGCUGGAGGGCAGGACCUGAGGAAGGCUGCAGUGGAGCCCACAGGGCCCUGGAAAGUGCCUGUGCCCAGAGCCAAGCAGCUCCUCCUCCAGCUUCACUUCCGGGAAUGUCUCUUCCUCCAGCUUCACUUCCGGAAUGUCUCCUCCAGGUGAUUGAUGGGGCCGCCCUGCGGGGGUGUGGGGAGGUUGAAGGAGAGGCUGUGCCCCCUCCACUGUCCUUUACCCUGGGAACAGGGGCAGGGGGAGGCCCGGCUCUAGCGGGCACUGAGAGCGGACCGGCACUGAGAAAGCGGGCUCUGCUGCACGUCCGGGACACGGGGUUGGGAGCCGCAGAAGCGGCUGCGCUCAGAGACUGGAGGUUUGGCCUUGGAGGGAUGGAGGUCAGUGCCCAUCGUUUGUCUGGAGGGUCCUGGAGGCUGAGCAGUAGCCUCGGCACAGACGUCUUAGCUCCUCUGUCCUCUCCUUCCUAGUUCUGCUGGUCACUCGUGGGUCCCCGGCCAGCUCUGUCACCCCAGCCAGCGAACAGGGAACAUUCGGGAAUAUCACCUCUCCCCAACCUUGAGCAGCCCCUCUUCAAGGCUGGGCCCUGGGGCCUCUCACCCUGGGAUCCCAGCCCAGCAGCCCUUACCUGGGAACGUUCUGCUCUGGGCACAGGUGCCUUUGCAGGGGAGGUGGAACCUUUAUACAGGUUUUUAAGCAAAUGAUCACCCACCACUGUAGUAUGUGCGUGUGACUCUUAAAAGUGUGUCUUUUCAUCCACACACACAGUCCCACUCCCACACACUGUGACCUGCCCAUAAGUGUGCAUGUGAGAUGCACAUUUAUAAAUAAUACCUGCACAGUAGUGCGACAAGAGAGGAUGGGAUGGUUUAGGAGAAAUGUCUGACUUCAGUAUCACAUGGGUGUGUAUAUGUCACAGAUGAGCAUUGGACACAGCCUGGGUGGGUGGGCAGGGCAGGCUGGAGGGCAGGACCUGAGGAAGGCUGCAGUGGAGCCCACAGGGCCCUGGAAAGUGCCUGUGCCCAGAGCCAAGCAGCUCCUCCUCCAGCUUCACUUCUGGGAAUGUCUCUUCCUCCAGCUUCACUUCCGGAAUGUCUCCUCCAGGAGGGGAAGUGGGGACACCUUUGUUUGUGAUGCCACGUCAGCCCAAGCCUGGAGCCCCCACACUGGGUCACGAAAAUCCCACUGGCUCAAGCAGACCACAUGGCCAAGCCCAGCAUCAGUGCAGGUGAAGGCGUGCGUGAGAGUUUUCCCAACAGUUGCCUAACAGCCAAAGUCUUUUAUCUCCUGACCCCAUUCAAUCCAGUUCCCUGUACUACCUGGCAUACAGCAGGUGCUUAUUAAAUGCUUGGCCCGCUGCUGGACUAAAGUCAUUUGGUUUCACUGAACUCAUCGUCUUUCUGGGAAUGAUAUUACAAGAAGCUUUCACACCCACGCUGGAAGAACCUUUUGGCCAAAGAGAAGUUCUUUAAUAGUGAUCAAAUUGAUCGAAAGAAGAGUUUUCCCACAUGAAAUGUGAAUUCAUUGGCAUGAAAUGACAGUCAGUUUCAUCAUAAAUUGUCUCCUGAGUAGAAAUAGGAAGAGUAAACAUGUACCACAUCUUUCUCAAAUGGAAUGAGCCUAGCUUCCAGCCAAAGGCAGGAUUCAUGAUCCCAUUUCUCUGCUUUGAUUCUCUUUAGAAAUACAGUCACCAAAAAUUAAUUGCCAAGUAGUCUGCAGUGUGUGGACACCAAGGGCUUUCAGCCCAGGCCUGAUAUUGAUACCUGCUCAUCAGCACAUUUGAAUUACGUGGACUGUCAAUAAAUGCCUGGAACAUUGUGAGCUUCGGGGACAUGAAGUCCAUUUACCACCAGGCAGCUGGCAGCCAGCACCAGAUCCGUGCUCUUCUGAACUUUGGUGUAGCAAAUGAUUCUGCAUGCCUUCCAGAAAGUGGCCCUAAUUUGAAUUUAAAUCAUAUUCAUGGUAUUGGCUUGGUGGCGUUUGGAGGAGGGGACACCAUGGCAGUAACAAGCAGGAUGCAGGGACUCAGCAGAAGCAGGCGCAGGUACCUCCCAGGGGCCCACCCGCUCCUGUCAAACCGCGGUGGUCCUGCCUGUCCUGCUUUUGGAGAUGACUGCCCCAGAUGGUGGGGCAGGGCCAGGGCCAGGCUUUGGGCUCUGGGACCAGGCAGAGCCGGGUUGGGCUUCAUCUUCCACACCAACUGCUGUGUGGCCUGGAGUGGUGGUCAGAGCUGUGGCACCUGUGCACAUUGAGUACAAGCAUGGGCCCCUGCCCAGGUCUGAGGACUACGUUCGGAGAUGGAUGAAAAGGCCAAGCCCCCUGCUAGCAGUGCCAGAUGCCCUCGGGAACUGGACCUGUGGUCCUGGGCAUUCAUUGCCAGCUUGCUCUGCACCAGGCGAGGUCUGAAUGAUUUCCUUGCAGUGCCGCAGUCAUCCCUGAGGCCACCCGGCCAGGUACCGUCACAUCCCUCUCUUUCUCAAAGAGAAACCGAGUCACAGGGUAUUUCAGUAACUGAGAACAUUAAGUGACCUGGAUGUGGCAAAGCUGGCUUGUACCAGAAGCUGGGAACUUUGGGGCAUGCUGGGCGUGGGUGUAGCAGCCUCUCUGUGUCCACCCGAGGUGGCCCUGCCCUGUUUCCACACACAGCCUGCCUAGAGCUAGAGAAGGCUCCAGGCGUUGAGUGCUCAGCUCCAGAGCUGGGCAGAUGGCACACCUGACCAGGAUAAGGUGUAGGUCUGGGAGAACGGGGUCAGUGCAGUGCAGGCCACAGGUGAGGGCAGAUGCAGAUAGGAGCGCCAUGAGAGGGCAAUGAGAGGGUAAGGGCUUCCAGGCUGGCAUGUGGGCCUGUCGUGCACUUUUCCCACAGACUGGUCAGAGGUGCUCAGCAGGACCCUGGAUGCUUCCCUGGGAGUAACUAAGAGGUCAUGUCUGGAUAGAACCAGAUGUGAGGGCUUUGACCCCCAUAGAGCCAGGUGCCCCUGGGAAAUGCCAGCAUUGUGUGAAGGAGAGUCUUGUACCAAAGCAGAUAUCCCCUGCCCCCCACCCUCAUCCCGCAGUUCCUAGCAGUUUCCAUUGCCUUCCAAACUUGAUGCCGCUGGAUCCUCCCAAGGUCCCUUUGCAGGUUGGAACCUGUGGCUCAGAGGUGAGGCAGUUUGCCUGGAACCACACAGUGGCUGGGUGUGGAGUCCGGACAAGGUGCAUCCUGAUCCAGGGCCCCCUACUCUGAUCCAUGGGUGUCUGGGCUCCAAAAAGCUUUCUCUGACCUUCUUGUUCUUGGGAAAGAGUGGUGCCUCCAGGAUUCAGGCCUGAGUUGUGCCUGGGACCAUGUGGGUCCCUUUCAUUCCUGUGUUACCUGGGGGUGAGGCAGAGGUUCCUGGUCCUGCUUUGGGCAUCAUAAGAUGGGCUGUUGUGGUGUCCCCUCCCCGCCAGGGCUGCUCUGAGGGCGCCCCUGGGGAGCAUCAUGCAAAGUCCUCCGUGCCCCUCUGGGGCACAGGGUGGGGUCUCUCCCUGUGGUGUCUCAGGGAGCAGGAGGCAGGCACAGUAUGAAUGUGGCCUCUGACAGCACAGCCAUGCUGAAGACCCCUGAGUCCGGCCUCCUGGGGCCGCUGGGCCUGGAGCACCCUGGAAGGCAGACAGCCCCCCAGGUCAGUGCUUCUGAACUCGGAGGAAAACACCAGCGAAGGGCUGGGCAGCUCAGCUCUGACCCAGACACCUGGCACGGCCUUGGCAGGUACUGGCCCCGUCUCAGCAGACCCAUAUCCUCUCCUCUCACCUCCUGGGCAAGGACACCACCAAUGAAAGGCUUGUAGGAACUGGAUGAGCUGCAUGAGCCCCCGGGAUGGGACCAGGUGAUGGCGGCUCGCUGGUCUUCCAGGCACACACGAAGGGGCUGAGCCCAUCAAGAAUUCCGCUCCAGAACUCCUUGAUAUUUGGCUUAAAGUUCAGCUCUAAAUAUAGACCCGUUGGGGUCUGUCGCAAAUGUUUUCUUGAGGGGUCUGUGAUGAUGUGCGUGGGGUCCUAAGAGGGGCAGGGUUCUGGCCCCCACCCUUCUCAUGGGGUCCUAAGGGGGGCAGGGUUCUGGCCCCCACCCUUCUCGUGGUCUGUGGCGCUGAUGGAAGCAGGUGCAGGAGGGGAGACGGGGGGGCCAAGGAGACUCUCUGGCAAGUGCUGCCUUCUCUCCCCUCCCUAAAGACCCUUCUCCAGGAGAGCUGCGCCUCUGCCCCGCCCGCUCCCCUGGCUGACCCAGGACCCACCUGCCGUCCUGAGCGUUCCCAUGGCAAGUGUGGGCGUGGCCGCUGCUGGUAACGGAGGAGUGAGAUCAAAUGAGUAGCCUCUGAGCCCCUGGUGGGAGUUGGGAGCCCUGUGGAAAACUGACUGAGAGCGUGGGCUCCUGCGGGAAGGCAGUGCUGGCCUCACGCCCCGCGGUGGCCGUCCUGCUCUGACUGUCCUCCCGGCAGGAAGCGUCCUCCAGUGUUCCCUCUGCUGUGUCCUGUCACCGCGGCUGUGUGGCUGCAGCCUGUGCACUGUGAGCCUUCCUUGGGUGGGUUCCUGGGGACCACCAGAGAGCCCCUCCCAAGGAGUCGCCAGUCACAGCGGACCCCACCUAGCUCUUCUGCCAUGGAGAAGGAUCCACACCUGCCUGCCUUGGGCGAGCUGCCUUUGCUUGCUGGUGUCCUGGUGCCUGGCUGCUGCUACCCAGGAGCCGGGCUCUGGGCAGGGAGGAGGGCUUCCUGGAGGCCAGCGGCAGAAGUCUGUUGAUCUGAAGCCCUCAGGAAACCUUCUUAGGGGGUCUUGUUUAGGAAACAAAUCCCUCUGCUGAUGUAGCUGCUGGCUGACUGUCAGCGCUGCCCACUGUGGAAAGCCCUUAUGAGCGUGUACAUCCUCUCUCGGGGUCCUGCAGGCCACGCGGUGGGAGCCUGCUCUCCCUGGGUCAGGACACGGAGACUUCACAGCCCAGCAGACCCCACGCCCAUGCCCAGCUCUGCCUAAAUGGAUCGAUUAUCUGGAAACCCCGUCGAGGGGCUCAGAAUUGCGGGCAGGGUGGGAGACUGGAGGGGUCCCUGUAGAUUAGCUUGGCUUACUUGAUUCAUUGAUUUUGUCAAGGGUCCGUUUAUCACACUGACAACUGGAAAAACCUUAAAUAAAUAUUUAUCAUCCUCCGAGGGGCCCGGCCAGGCUCCCAGGGAAGAGGAGGGGCAGCUGGGAUUGCACCUACAUGGGGCUUCCGGGGCUCACCCCGAGGGACGAGGCCCAGAGCCAGCCCUGGGCGCUGAGCCCCUGGUUUCCCACUGUUGUGAUGCCCCUGCCUGCAUUCCCUGCAGAAUACCCUGGAGACUCGGGCCUGGGGCUGAUCUGAGCGGGGGCUGGUUCUCAUCCACCAGGUCACAGGCAGCGGAGUACCCCGGAGACUCGGGCCUGGGGCUGAUCUGAGCGGGGGCUGGUUCCCAUCCACCAGGUCACAGGCAGCGGAGUACCCCGGAGACUCGGGCCUGGGGCUGAUCUGAGCGGGGGCUGGUUCCCAUCCACCAGGUCACAGGCAGCGGAGUACCCCGGAGACUCAGGCCUGGGGCUGAUCUGAGCGGGGGCUGGUUCCCAUCCACCAGGUCACAGGCAGCGGAGUACCCCGGAGACUCGGGCCUGGGGCUGAUCUGAGUGGGGGCUGGUUCCCACCCACCAGGUCACAGGCAGCAGACUACCCCGCAGACUCAGGUCUGGGGCUGAUCUGAGAGGGGUCUCGUUCCCAUCCACAGGCAGAGGUUGGUCUGCCUACUGCUCAUUCAUUCGUUCAUUCGUGUGUCUUUCACCCCAAGAGCCCCCCCCUCGUCUCCCACCGCCAUGCCCCACACGGGCUCAGCUCCGGCCCUGCUGUUGCCUUCCUCUGGAAGCUUCCUCUCUAGACAUCCUCCUGACUUGUGUGAUCCCGGCUUCCCUCAGAUGCCCAAAUGCCACCUCCUCAGGGGAGCCCUCCUGGACCACCUUGACUCCACAGGCCCCCCGCUCUGUGCCUCUCCUGCCUGGCUCACUCUGUCUCCAUGGAGGCCCCCAUACCCUGGCUUUGUGCUAUGGACAGUGGUUCCUGUGCCCUCCGUGUGCCCCUGCAGACACAGGUCGGUCUCAGCUCUGUUCCCAGCUGCAUUCCCAGUACCCUGACGAAGGACAGACUGCCCGGAGGCACCCGAGCCAGAGGGAAUAGGAUGGAGGGAGGGAAGCAGGAUGCAGGCUUCCCUGGUCGCACGCACUGGACACCCAGGAGGAGGCUGCGGUCAUGGGGAGAUCUGUGCCAGGGACAGGAUGGUGGGAGAGGGUGAGGAGGCAUCCCAGGGAUGAGUCCUGGGGCAGGGCUGGGAGGGGACAGAUCACCAGGCACCACUGUCCUUAACUCUGUCCCCCACCCGGGGCCCAGACGCGUUCUGGAAGGUUCCUACAGUGUCUCUGAGCGUACAUCCAUGCUUGCCGUGGUGCAGGCCCGUCUGCCACCCAGGGCUCUCUGUCCAGGCCGGUGGUGCCCUCCCUGUCUGCCUGACUUGGGGCGCAGCCCUGACAUGCCCAGGCCCUCCUCCGUUCAGCCUGUGGCCUCUUUUUGCUGGGAGGGCUUGUCAACGCCCCUGGAAUCCAACCGAGAACUUGACGAUGGAGGAUGUUUAAUGCUCAGUAAGUGAUCACCGUCCACCUGCCCAGCUCUUGGCCUCCAUCCUGGCCAAGCGUGGACAUGCAUUUGUCCAGGUCGCUGAAUGGGAGCAUCAAAGAGGGUACGGAAAUUCCCCCAAAGGGACAAAUGAGGUACAAACCACAGGCUCCCUUUUCAUCUUGCUCCUGGUCCCAGAACCCAGGUCCUCGGGCGGCCGCUCAGAAGAGCUCAGCUCCCACCCGGGCUCAGGGAAGAGAUCAGGCUGUGGAGAGCCUUUGAAGGGUUGGGAGGAAGAGGCCGGAGACUUUCUGAAAGGGCUCCCGGCAAAAGCGUCCCCAGGGAAAUGCUCCCGGGUGUCUGGACUGCCGGCUCUGAAGGUGCAGAAGUUUGACGGGCUAGUUUAGUCCAUCAUUUUUUUUUUCCAUUAAUAAAAAUUAGGAUAGGAAAGAACUGAUCAUAAUCCAACAUUGACAAUGAAGCUUUCCCAUUUACUCCUCUUUCUGUAAGGGUUUUUUAGCAAUCAAAAUGAUUUAUGAUUAAUACAGUGCAUAUUAAAACUUUUAACCUGGUACCUUCAUAAAGUAAAAAAUGUUCCCAACAUAUUACAUUUUUAAUCACAUGAGUUAAUUACUCUUUAGGGAGGCUUUGGAGAUUCUGGAAAGGAGGGUAUUACAGAUUUCAAAGAAUGAGACUGAAACUGUCAUUUUAAUGAGAAUGCAAAUGAGAUUGCUGAGGUUCAGUGAAGGUCACAGCGGCUUCAUCAUCAAGUUAUUACAGCCAUUUAUUGCCAGUAACAAAUGAAUAUUAAAAGCUAUUGUUUUAACAGA